rnacentral:rRNA from 1 species
GACGAACGCUGGCGGCGUGCUUAACACAUGCAAGUCGAACGGAAAGGCCCUGCCUGCAGGGUACUCGAGUGGCGAACGGGUGAGUAACACGUGGGUGAUCUGCCCUGCACUUCGGGAUAAGCCUGGGAAACUGGGUCUAAUACCGGAUAGGAGCCAUUUUUAGUGUGAUGGUUGGAAAGUUUUUUCGGUGUAGGAUGAGCUCGCGGCCUAUCAGCUUGGUGGUGGGGUAAUGGCCUACCAAGGCGGCGACGGGUAGCCGGCCUGGGAGGGUGGACGGCCACAUUGGGACUGGGGUACGGCCCAGACUCCUACGGGAGGCAGCAGGGGGGAAUAUUGCACAAUGGGGGCAAGCCUGAUGCAGCGACGCCGCGUGGGGGAUGACGGCCUUCGGGUUGUAAACUCCUUUCGCUAGGGACGAAGCUUUUUGUGACGGUACCUAGAUAAGAAGCACCGGCUAACUACGUG